UCUUCUCGUUUGCCUUUUUCUGCUUCUGCUGCAUGAUCUCCGAGUCCCU
ensembl:miRNA